GACCUUGUGGCGCAAGGGCAGCGCGUCUGACUCCAGAUCAGAAGGUUGUGUGUUCAAAUCACACCAGGGUCA
rfam:Columba livia unplaced genomic scaffold scaffold786, whole genome shotgun sequence.